rnacentral:tmRNA from 1 species
GGGGAUGAUCGGUUUCGACAUCGCCUGCGAACCCACGAGAAGCGGGCCGAGGAUGCAGGGUUAUCUCGCAAACGAUCUCUGCACAAUAUAAGUGCCAACGCAAAGCGCACUGACUUCGCCCUCGCCGCAUAGGCGAGCCCGAUAGUCCGUCAGCCCGGGUUUGUUUCCGCCCCGGUCGCUGGCGUCAUCUAGGGAACUUGCUGCACGUCGUCGCCUGAGCGACGUGCGGGACUUUAUUCAGGCUGGACCCGUCGACUUAGGUGCCUGUGGCAAAGGUCGGGGCCGAGUAGAACGCCAACACAGGCUGCGCCCGGAGAAGGCGUGGAAUCACAGCGAUGGACGGGGGUUCAAUUCCCCCCAUCUCCACCA